rnacentral:rRNA from 1 species
GCCUGGGGAGUACGGUCGCAAGAUUAAAACUCAAAGGAAUUGACGGGGACCCGCACAAGCGGUGGAUGAUGUGGAUUAAUUCGAUGCAACGCGAAAAACCUUACCUACCCUUGACAUGUCUGGAAUGCCGAAGAGAUUUGGCAGUGCUCGCAAGAGAACCAGAACACAGGUGCUGCAUGGCUGUCGUCAGCUCGUGUCGUGAGAUGUUGGGUUAAGUCCCGCAACGAGCGCAACCCUUGUCAUUAGUUGCUACGCAAGAGCACUCUAAUGAGACUGCCGGUGACAAACCGGAGGAAGGUGGGGAUGACGUCAAGUCCUCAUGGCCCUUAUGGGUAGGGCUUCACACGUCAUACAAUGGUCGGGACAGAGGGUCGCCAACCCGCGAGGGGGAGCCAAUCUCAGAAACCCGAUCGUAGUCCGGAUCGCAGUCUGCAACUCGACUGCGUGAAGUCGGAAUCGCUAGUAAUCGCGGAUCAGAAUGUCGCGGUGAAUACGUUCCCGGGUCUUGUACACACCGCCCGUCACACCAUGGGAGUGGGUUUCACCAGAAGUAGGUAGCCUAACCGCAAGGAGGGCGC